AAUAGAUACCCAGGUAGUCCACGCCGUAAACGAUGAGUGCUAAGUGUUAGAGGGUUUCCGCCCUUUAGUGCUGCAGCUAACGCAUUAAGCACUCCGCCUGGGGAGUACGGUCGCAAGACUGAAACUCAAAGGAAUUGACGGGGGCCCGCACAAGCGGUGGAGCAUGUGGUUUAAUUCGAAGCAACGCGAAGAACCUUACCAGGUCUUGACAUCCUCUGACAACUCUAGAGAUAGAGCGUUCCCCUUCGGGGGACAGAGUGACAGGUGGUGCAUGGUUGUCGUCAGCUCGUGUCGUGAGAUGUUGGGUUAAGUCCCGCAACGAGCGCAACCCUUGAUCUUAGUUGCCAGCAUUUAGUUGGGCACUCUAAGGUGACUGCCGGUGACAAACCGGAGGAAGGUGGGGAUGACGUCAAAUCAUCAUGCCCCUUAUGACCUGGGCUACACACGUGCUACAAGUGGAUGGUACAAAGGGCUGCAAGCCGCGAGGUCAAGCCAAUCCCAUAAACCNUUACUCAGUUCGGAUUGUAGGU
rnacentral:rRNA from 1 species